rnacentral:lncRNA from 1 species
CAACUUGAUGAAAAUGGGUUGACGUUUGAUUCACCUCUGGUUUUCCCUUUCAUGAGAUUUAUAGUGGAUUUAUUUCACGGGUUUUUAUAUUAAACUUCAUUAGUGAGUAUAAAAACAUAUAGGUUAAAGUUAACAAACAAAAUAUACAGACUUCACAUGCAUUUGUGAUUUUGCUGAACAUUUUUUUCCAUCAACUAUUUUACAAUUUAUUCUCGUUUGGGUUCAAUUCAAAUUCUUGGUUUCUGGAAAUGCUUAUAAAUUAGAAAAUGACCAUCUGUAUUUUUUUCUUUUUUUUUUUUUAGGUAGCCAUUCAUCUGCCGAAUGGAAGUGUUGAGGUCAUCUCCAGCUCUAAGGUUUUGUGAUUCCAAUAGGAAAAUAUGUUAUUCUUGUUUAGAGACCUGGACACCAUCUGUGAUUUUUGGAUGAAGACCUAGAUGAGUUCAAAGGCCUGAAGAACCAGGGGCGCCACUGUGUAAAUCUGUUACCAAACCAAACUGGGAUCUGCUCACCCGGUGCUGUAAGGCCCAACAUCUACAUGAAAGUUUGCAGAGGGAGAAAGGAGGGGCCCAAGCGUGAAGAAUUGGGCAGCUUAUGCUUGAGACAUGACCCCCCUGAUGGCUUGUAAGUGAGUGUUAUUUAAAGGUGGGGGCAAAUUUUAGGGAAAAUGAAGUUACAGUAAAAAUUGUUAAUCAAUACAUAGAGAUUAUGAACUGAGUUGGCCUAGAAAGCUUGGAUAUCUUAAGGCAGGGGAUUGUAGGUCAUAGGUAGAUUCGAAGACUUUCUGAUUUGCAAUUAGCAAAGGAAGAGAACCUCUGUUUAAAAAUGUGGAGUUAGCAGAAAACAAUGUUAGCUCUGGCUCAUG